GGGAAUUUUGGACAAUGGGCGAAAGCCUGAUCCAGCAAUGCCGCGUGUGUGAAGAAGGCCUUCGGGUUGUAAAGCACUUUUGUCCGGAAAGAAAUCCUUGGCUCUAAUACAGUCGGGGGAUGACGGUACCGGAAGAAUAAGCACCGGCUAACUACGUGCCAGCAGCCGCGGUAAUACGUAGGGUGCGAGCGUUAAUCGGAAUUACUGGGCGUAAAGCGUGCGCAGGCGGUUUGCUAAGACCGAUGUGAAAUCCCCGGGCUCAACCUGGGAACUGCAUUGGUGACUGGCAGGCUAGAGUAUGGCAGAGGGGGGUAGAAUUCCACGUGUAGCAGUGAAAUGCGUAGAGAUGUGGAGGAAUACCGAUGGCGAAGGCAGCCCCCUGGGCCAAUACUGACGCUCAUGCACGAAAGCGUGGGGAGCAAACAGG
rnacentral:rRNA from 1 species